AUAUGAUUUCAUAGUUAAAAAAAGAAACAAGGGGAUUGGGAUAUGACCCAUGCCCUGCUUUGCUAAUCAAUAAACGGCAUUCAAUUAAAAAGCUCAACUCGAUCCGCGGACCAGCUCGUAUAACUCGCGGUUCAUAUAGGUUAUUUGAUAAGCCAGGGACUAUGCCAAAGGAUACAGGGGACAACAAUGAAAGACCCAAAAGGAGGACUAAUCCACCCAAGCAGGUGUGAAGGAGCUACAAACCUGUUAGAAGUGGGAACAGCUGGCAGAAAUGGCUAGCACCUAGUAGGAGAAUAUGCUUGUCAGAAUAAUUCUGCUGUUAUAUGAGUAGUGGAAUUGUGCAUUUCUGUUAUCCCUUGUUGGCCCUUUGUCUCUAGGUUGUAACCGUAAGCAGGCUAUAUAUAUUGAGCCUUUGCUGUGUAUGAAAGGAUACGAGAAAAUUAUCAAACACUUCCCUUCUUAAUCUAGUUUCUGGAGGUUUCCCUUAGGCCUCGAAUUCUAAGGGCGUGUUCUGGUUCUUAACAUUUAUUUCUUGUAUUUUUUUUCAUUUAGUGGUUUAAUAUAUAUUUGAUAGAUUAAAGAGGGAACCGGAUCCGUUGAAUAGCGAUAUGUCGAAGGGUGUGUAGCCAGGCCUACAUUGAAUUGGUGUCGGGGGAGAAAUUAAUGUGGUGCUGGUGCCUGUGACACUGUAUGUGGGUUAUCUUAUCUGCCAUUCAGUAUUAAUUGGAAGGGAAGGGCAAUUGCAAUUGCAAACUUAACACACAUCACACAAAAAGUAGUUUUUCUUUUGUCUUUGUCUCCUUGUUUGUAUCCAACCAAAAGCUACUUUUUGACAUAAACCAUGAUGCUUUUCCAUUCUCGUUUACGGUCCCUUUCUCUCGUUGUAUAUCUCGAGGCUAUGCACAUAGAUUUUUAUUGUUGUACGUGUCAUCUCAUCAUCCCUUUUGGAAAUUUAAAAGAGUCAAAACACUAUUAUAAACAGAAGAGCAACAAUGGGUAUGGAGAAAGAAUAGUCAAAGAGGAUGUGGAAAAAAGUGCCUUUGCAUGCCUUCUUUCCUUUCUUUUUGUCUCUCUAACUCAGAAUUUCUUGGCACACGGAGAACACGCUUUGAUAGUUGUCUUAUGGAAGCUUUAGAAGAGGGACCGGAGAAGAUAAUAGGACUAGGAUUAGAAAGGUAUGAUGUGGAAGAAUAGGGAGAGAAUCAUUUGGUUAUCAUUGUCUUUUCUGGUAAUGGUAACCAUAUCGUGUGUGUGUAGAUUUUUAAAUCAAGGCAAAUGCACUAGUUUUUUUUACUGGAGCAAAUACUCUAGUUAAGAAACUA